rnacentral:ncRNA from 2 species
UGAAUACCUUAUUUAAUAGGUGCCCGCAAGGGAUAAUAGGGAACCAGGUUGUAAUCCUGGACGGACCCACCACUGUAAGUAGAUGUUGAAAAUGUACAUUUGCCACUGGGAAACUGGGAAGGCGUACAUUCUAGUCUAUAAGUCAGGAAACCUGCCUAUGAAAUAUUGCAAAA